AACAAAAAAAUGUAAAAAUCUGUUUGGCAUCCAGUGUUUCAGUGUUUUUUGAACAAAAAAUUGGAAAAGAAAAACGACUUGAAAGAGGAAAGUCGGAACGACAAAGCCCGUUCUGUACUUCUGUCCGACAGUUUCGUUCCAAAGGUGUUAAAAACAGGAACUUUCGUUCCCGAUAAUAUACCCUCGCCUCCUUACCUCUCUCUUUCACUUUGCGCACGCAGAGCUGGAGAAAGAAGAAACCGGAGAAGCAACUCGACCUAAUCCUUGACACAGCAGAAGGAUCCUGCAUCGUUCUUCUCAAGGGAGAACUCCACUGCUCAUCUCUGCUCGACUCUGCUCGUCGAUCACGUCUUCUCAGAUCUCAUCUGUGAAGACCAGAUCUUUGCGAGUUUUCAACCUGAUCUCUGCUUGUUUUCGCUCAAACAGUCGAACUUUCUUGUCCAUCAUUGGUGGAGUUAUUGCCGGAAUUUUGGGAUUCACUGGCUUGACAGGCUUUGUCUUUUAUUUCCUCAUCAUGGCGAUUACUUCUAUUGGACUUGCAGCCAAGGCAAAGUUCUCCA